rnacentral:rRNA from 1 species
UACGAAGGGGGCUAGCGUUGUUCGGAUUUACUGGGCGUAAAGCGCACGUAGGCGGAUCGUUAAGUCAGGGGUGAAAUCCUGGGGCUCAACCCCAGAACUGCCUUUGAUACUGGCGAUCUCGAGUCCGGAAGAGGUGAGUGGAACUCCUAGUGUAGAGGUGGAAUUCGUAGAUAUUAGGAGGAACACCAGUGGCGAAGGCGGCUCACUGGUCCGGUACUGACGCUGAGGUGCGAAAGCGUGGGGAGCAAACAGG